CCUUCACUCGCAUACAAUCGCUUCUCAAAAUUGGCGACCCCAUCCCUUCCCUGCGAUAUAUUUUUCCUCUGCCAAUGCCCAUCGCUUCAUCCUUUUGGUUACUUAUUCAAAAUCUUCAUCGAAGGUUCAGGAAACGGAUGUUUUACUCCGACUCUUUUUAUCCUCCAUGUUUGGGACACCGGCCUCCUACUUCUCCAUACCACUGCUCCCUCUAAGCCAAUGAUAUUCAAUGUUUUUCAUUUUUUUUGACUCAUCCUUCUCCGAUCGACAAUAUUUCCGAACUUUGGGUUGCCCUAAUUUUCCAUGCUUAGGGUUUGCAGUUUCACCAUGAUGCUUGACUACUCUGACCAAUUUGAUAUUAUUUUAUAUGCUUUCCUCUCAGGAAAAAAUAUUACGCGACUAGAUAUUAACGAAGAACCUACAAUUUUAUGAGGAGGUAGGGCGAAAUGUAAUUUGUUGAUUUCAAACCUAGGCGAUUAGGGGGUGUGUUUUGGAUCAUUAGAAUUGUGUGCUUUACAAACUAAUUUGUAUAGUUAUCCUGAUUUCAUUUUUAAUUGUGUGCUUCCGUUGAUUGAUUUUCGCACAUUAAUUUCAAAUCAAGUUCUUUUCUUCUUUUGAAAAGAAGGGAGCAGGGGACAUCUAGCAUAUCCAUUAUUAAACUACUUUUCUAUAUAGCUAUUGGAUCCAAUGAUGUUGAUCUGUGGUUGCAAGGUACUUUUCUUUAACCAGAGCAUUCUGUCACCAAUUAUUUUGUAAAUCCUUUUAGGCUAUUUUGGUUACAUGGGACCACUUAUGUGUUUAUGUGUUUAAGAAAUUGACAUGUGAUGCAGGAUACAUGCCAGAAAUAGUGAAAUUUCUUAAUUGUAAGUCAUUUGGGACAUGAAAAUGGCAUGGGGGUAUACGUCCUAUAACUUUUCUUUUUUCCAUAAUAUGCUUGUGUAUGAUCUUUGGUGCUUCGAAACCACGGGAGAGAAGGAAUAGGGGUAGCUAAGGGUAGCUAAGGAUGCCAAAAUAUUAACAGCGAAUCACCUUCUACAAGUAAUUUGUGCUAGAUAUUCAGAUCCUUAAUUCAUAUAGGAUUUAGCUUAUAUAAAUGUAGUAAUGUGAUUUACUGCUUUGUAUAAAAACCCUUUAUUCAAAUAAAAUUAAAACAAAAAGCUAAUGAAAGUAAA